CAGUCGCCGCGGUAAUACGGAGGGAGCUAGCGUUAUUCGGAAUUACUGGGCGUAAAGCGCACGUAGGCGGCUUUGUAAGUUAGAGGUGAAAGCCUGGAGCUCAACUCCAGAAUUGCCUUUAAGACUGCAUCGCUUGAAUCCAGGAGAGGUGAGUGGAAUUCCGAGUGUAGAGGUGAAAUUCGUAGAUAUUCGGAAGAACACCAGUGGCGAAGGCGGCUCACUGGACUGGUAUUGACGCUGAGGUGCGAAAGCGUGGGGAGCAAACAGGAUUAGAUACCCCAGUAGUCCCUGUCUCUUAUAC
rnacentral:rRNA from 1 species